GUGAAUCAUCAAAUCUUUGAACGCACAUUGCACUCUCCGGUUUUCCGGGAGAGUAUGCCUGUUUGAGGGUCAGCCUAAAAAAAAUCGACAUCGUUUCUGUUUCGCGGUGGCGUUCGUCGGAAAUUGGGUCAUCUUAAAUCCUUUUGGUUUUUAAGCGACUUAAAAUUUUCUUUUUGGUUCCAUGAACGUUUCUAAGAUUUUUCUUGUACGUUUAAGGUAUCGACUGUCUUAUGAGACGUGGCGGUCAUAUCGGAUCGUGUCAAUAAUUUUUGUCGUUAACUGACCUAAGACAGGUAAUAGA
rnacentral:misc_RNA from 1 species